UACAGAGGUCUCAAGCGUUGUUCGGAUUCAUUGGGCGUAAAGGGUGCGUAGGUGGCGGUAUAAGUCUGGUGUGAAAUCUUGGGGCUCAACCCCGAAACUGCAUUGGAUACUAUAUCGCUAGAGGAUUGUAGAGGAGAGUGGAAUUCAUGGUGUAGCAGUGAAAUGCGUAGAUAUCAUGAGGAAGACCAGUUGCGAAGGCG
rnacentral:rRNA from 1 species